GUACUGCCGAUGAGUCGCGGACUAAGACGAAACAGCUGUCCGGUAC
rnacentral:hammerhead_ribozyme from 1 species